CCUACGGGAGGCAGCAGUUAGGAAUUUUGCGCAAUGGACGAAAGUCUGACGCAGCAACGCCGCGUGAGUGAAGAAGGCCUUCGGGUUGUAAAGCUCUUUCGACAGGGAAGAAACAAAUGACGGUACCUGUAGAAGAAGCACCGGCUAACUCCGUGCCAGCAGCCGCGGUAAUA
rnacentral:rRNA from 1 species